ACACACACACACACACACACACACACAUAUGUAUAUGUAUACACACACACGUGCGCGCACACACACACACACACACACACGCAGAGGGGAGGGGGAGGUCUAGAAAGUCUUGGCAGAAAAAUGUCCAGAUAUGCAAAAAGAUUAAAUGACCAAAACCCAACAGAGGUUGAAAACAAUAACAACACUUUUAGGUGCCCAGAAAUUUGAGUUAUCAAACAUGGAUUUUAGAAUACCUGUGAUUAUUAUUCAAGUAAGUAGAUGGUGAGAUGGUGAACUUCACCAGACAGCUAUAAUGCAUAAAAAGAAUCAAAUGGGAAUUAUGGAAAUCAAAAAUAAAAUAACCUAAAUUAAAAAAAUUGACGGAUGUGUUAAACAA
rnacentral:lncRNA from 10 species